rnacentral:rRNA from 1 species
UACGUAGGGACCAAGCGUUGUUCGGAUUUACUGGGCGUAAAGGGCGCGUAGGCGGCAUGACAAGUCACUUGUGAAAUCUCUGGGCUUAACCCAGAACGGCCAAGUGAUACUGUCGCGCUAGAGUGCGGAAGGGGCAAUCGGAAUUCUCGGUGUAGCGGUGAAAUGCGUAGAUAUCGAGAGGAACACCUGAGGUGAAGACGGGUUGCUGGGCCGACACUGACGCUGAGUGCGCGAAAGCCAGGGGAGCAAACAGG